AAUUUUGCACAAUGGGGGGAACCCUGAUCCAGCAAGCCCGCGUGGGGGAUGAAGGACUUAGGUAUGUAAAGCACUUUUGGCAGGGAAGAAAGAACACAGGCUAAUACCCAGUGCAAAUUAGGGUACCUACAGAACAGGCACCGGCGAACCACGUGCCAUCAGCCGCGGUAAGACGUAGGGUGCAAGCGUUAAUCGGAAUUACUGGGCGUAAAGCGUGUGUAGGCGGUUAGGCAAAAAAGAGGUGAAAUCCCCCGGCUCAACCUUGGAACUGCAUUUUUAACUGCCUGGCUAGAGUAUGUCAGAGGGGAGUAGAAUUCCACGUGUAGCGGUGAAAUGCGUAGAUAUGUGGAGGAAUACCAAUGGCGAAGGCAGCUCCCUGGACUAAACCUGACGCUCAGACGCGAAAGCGUGGGGAGCGAACA
rnacentral:rRNA from 1 species